ensembl:lncRNA
UUACAGUCCGACGAGCAACUUUAAACGCAAGUAUUGAGUUGCAGCAUAUAUUUUUAUUUGCAGAUCACUGAUUUACGGCCGCUACAACAGAUUCCACCAGAGAGCUACCUAUGGGGACGAUAUAUCCGGGGCACCGUUGGAGCCAGAUAUCCGGGGCUUGAAUUCCUCAUCCGUCGGCGUGUCAUUGUUUACAGUCCGACAAGCAACUUUAAACGCAAGUAUUGAGUUGGAGCUUAUAUUUUUUGUUUGCAGACAAGUCUAACGUUGCUAUAAUCGUUUUAUCUAUACAUAUUAUGUGUUUCAACACAGUUUUCUAUUCAAAAAUCUCAACUGAAGUUCACCUCGUAUGUAUUUGCGUUCCUGGCCACACAAAAUAUAUACUGCGUGCAGUUCUCGUUUUGUCUACCGGGAGGCAGGCGUUGACCGACUGUAAAUAUAUGUGUUUUCAUAUGAAAUGAACAUUAAACAGAACAGAUAGGUGCAAUAAAUACACACAUGCAGAAGGUAUUCAUGUUAUUUAUGUUAAAUCAAUAUAUGUUCUACUAAAACUCAGAAAAAGCUAAAGUUUGUAAGAAACCAAACCGUUUGUAAAUCCUUCAAGAUUUCAGCGAGAUAAGAGUAUUAGCGUUUGUGCAGAUCACUGAUUUACGUCCGCUACAACAGAUUCCACCAGAGAGCUACCUAUGGGGACGAUAUAUCCGGGGCACCGGUGGAGCCAGAUAUCCGGGGCUUGAAUUCCUCAUCCGUCGGCGUGUCAUUGUUUACAGUCCGACAAGCAACUUUAAACAAAUCCAAUAGUAUCCAACUGCAGCCCCGGAGAACAACACCCUGGCAUGACGGAACACCCAGGCGGGACAGAAUCUGGAGACUGGUGGAAGUAGUCCAGCCGCCAUUUGUUUGGCCUCCUCCAUGAAGUGUGGGAACCUUCUGCCGUGCCUGUAUAAAUAAAGAGAAAUGAUUGUAGGAAUUAUAUAUAUUUUGUUAAUAUUGGGGUUGAGGUAUAUAUUCAUAUUUGAAAUAAAAAAAAAGGGUUAGUGUUUUUUAGUUAGUUGUGAUCGCCGAUGUCUUGCUUUCUUGUACUUUUGCCUCUGUAGUCUGUUUUGAUGCUCGUCAUUGUAGUCCUUUCCUUUUGCUUAAAAACAUAAGGGGUAACGCUGUCUUCUUUUUUAUCGGGCUUAAUGAAAAAAAACUAAAGGGCUAACACUGUCGUUUUUAUUGGUCGUCAUGAAAAUUGUUUCUAUCAAUUCAAACUUAACGGACAACACUGGUGUUUUCUUAUCUUAAAAACACAAGGGGUAAAACUGUUGUUUUUUAUCCUUCAUCAAGAAAAAAAUCAUAAUGGGUAACACUGUCGUUUUUAUCGGACGUCAUAAAAAAUAAAAAAGGGUAACACUGUUAUUCAAUCAAAUAAAACAUAAGGGGCAACACUGUCGCUUUUGAUCAAUUAUGAAAUGAAUGGGUAAGACUGUCGUUAGUUCUCAAAGGAAACACAAGGGGUAACACUCUCGUUUUUUAUUGGUCGUCGUGAAAAAAACCAUAAGAUGUAACACUGUAUUCUUCGUUAAAAAACGGUCGUUUUCUAUCAAUUCAAACUUAAGGGAAAACACUGGUGUUUUCUUAUCUUAAAAACAUAAGGGGUAACACUGUUGUUUUUUAUCGGUCGUCAUGAAAAAAUCAUAAGGGUAAUACUGUUAUUUUAUCAAAAUAAAACAUAAGGGGUAACACUGUCGUGUUUUAUCAAUUAAAACAUAAGAGGUAACACUGUCGUGUUUUAUCAAUUAUAAAAUAAAUAAUUGAUAAAAUGUCAUUAGUGUCGUUAGUUCUCUAAGAAAUCACAAGAGGUGAUGCUGUCGUUUUUUAUUGGUCGUCUUGACGUCACUGUUCCAUCCGUUUAAGUCAGAACCGUUGAUGCAGAAGUUGAUGGUACAUCCGUUUGAGUCAGAACUAUGGAUGCAGAAGUCGAUGACUCUGCUGUAGAAGUUUGAACCGUAGUUUGAGUAGUCAAUUGGUUAGAAGUAACUGUUCCAUCUGUUGAGGUCAGAACUGUGGAUGCAGAAGUCAAUGGUCCAUCCGUUUAAGUCAGAACUGUGGAUGCAGAAGUCAAUGGCUCUGCUGUUGAAGUUUGAACCGUUGUUCGAGAAGCCAAUUGUUCAGACGUUACUGUUUCGUCUGAUGAAGUUGGAAGCGUCGACUUUUCAGUUGAAGUCCCUGUACAGAAAAGUUAUUAUUUUACACUUCUAAUUAUUUUUAUUCGCCGUACAGGAUUUAAUAUCAAUGUGACAGGUAAUAUGUAUGACAAUAAAGAUGAUAAGAGCAAUCUUAAUCUACAUAUACUUCUGUACAUUCUGUAUUUGUAUCUGUCUGGGGGAUGGCUGUGAAUGAGAGCACUCAUUCCCCAGAACAGAUAGGAAACAGCUCUCCUGCCGAGGCACCUCUUAUUGGUCAAAGGUUCUAAAAUGCUAAAAUUGUCAAGUGUUGUCUCCCCACUUCUCUACCAGAGGUUUCAAGGAGACUAUGUUUGCCGGGACAUGAACCCAUGUUACCAGAUCACGGUUGGGAUUAGGUGUGCAUCAACUACCUCCGGUACACCACGAGACGCACAGAAGUAGGUGUUCGGAAGUUAUACUUGUAGUUGACGUCAUAUAGGAAUCAAUGUCAUGUGAAUCUACCGUGUCAAAUAUGACUUUGACCAAUGUUAUGACUAGCAUAUCUGUGGUCAAGUGGAGUGUCUUGUUGUUAAUAAGGCCAGAUGAGUGUAAGCACUUCAGACCUGGGUUCAAGUCCCACCAACAACACCUUCUUUAAACAUAUUGGCUAUUUUGAACCGAUGUCUCGUGAAUUGUAAAGUCAAUUAUAACUUCUCACCAGUUCCUUGCUAGUGUCUCUGUGGCGCAGGUGAUAGAGCUGUUACCUAUCUGUUCUGGAGACAUAUGUUCAAAUCCUGCCACAGCAGGUUUUGUGGGAAUGAUUGUAUGGUGAACGGAUGAUUGCGAAUAACCGUCUGUGUGAAUUGAUUGAUGUGAAUGACUUAAUUCACAUUAAUCAAAUUGCCUAGACGGUAAUUCAGAAUGAAUGGGUGAGUGGGAAUGGCUGUCUGGGGGACUGGAUGGCUGGGAAUGAGUGCACUCAUUCCCAGCCAUCCAUUCUCCCAGAC